rnacentral:rRNA from 1 species
AGCGAACGCUGGCGGCAGGCCUAACACAUGCAAGUCGAACGAACCUUUCGGGGUUAGUGGCGAACGGGUGAGUAACACGUGGGAACGUGCCUUUAGGUUCGGAAUAACUCAGGGAAACUUGUGCUAAUACCGAAUGUGCCCUUCGGGGGAAAGAUUAAUCGCCUUUAGAGCGGCCCGCGUCUGAUUAGCUAGUUGGUUGAGGUAAUGGCUCACCAAGGCGACGAUCAGUAGCUGGUCUGAGAGGAUGAUCAGCCACAUUGGGACUGAGACACGGCCCAAACUCCUACGGGAGGCAGCAGUGGGGAAUCUUGCGCAAUGGGCGAAAGCCUGACGCAGCCAUGCCGCGUGAAUGAUGAAGGUCUUAGGAUUGUAAAAUUCUUUCACCGGGGACGAUAAUGACGGUACCCGGAGAAGAAGCCCCGGCUAACUUCGUG